rnacentral:lncRNA from 1 species
GGGACGACGAGGAAGGGGAAGGUUAUGAAGGGCUGUGACACCUUGCUUGGCUUCUAGUCUUGACAUAGACUAAAAGGCAGAAGGUUUCCAGAGCUCACGCUGGAUGGCUGGGCAGAUGAGGUCUUCAGAGACUCUCCAGGGAGUGGCCAGGAUACCCUAUCCAGAGGAAGCAGGACCGUCUCAGCUGACCAGGGCCCUUGCCUGCUAAUAGCAUCAUGCAUACCUUGUUUCUUCAUGAGGCUGCUUGCCCGAGUUCCAAUCCACCAGGAAUUCAUCUUGUAUCAUAGCUGAUGGAUCCCGUGUCUCGUUUCUAAGUUGGAGCAUCACUUUGCAGCUCCCAACCAGGGCCAGCCACAAAAUUUGAAAGGCCCAGUGCAAAAUAAAAAUGCAGAGCCCCUUGUUCAAAAAGCAGGAAAAGAAUGGGCCAGCAAAGGAACUAAAAUAAACGAAAGCUUUUCCCUUU